rnacentral:rRNA from 1 species
CUAAAAAUCUAGCUCUUCUCAUUCUUAUGAAUACUCCACCUCUUAACCAACUGAUAAAUCAUUUUCUACAUAAAGUAAAGGCGAUAGAAAAAUGUUUAGAAGCUAUAGAAAGUAGUACCGCAAGGGAAAAAUGAAAUAAUAAUGAAAAAUUUACAAGCACCAAAAAGCAGAGCUGUAGCCUCGUACCUUUUGCAUCAUGGUCUAACUAGUCUAAUCAAGCAAAGUGCAUUUUUAGUUUGACCCCCCGAAACUAGGUGAGCUACUUAAAAACAGCCGUUAGGGCCAACCCGUCUCUGUUGCAAAAGAGUGGGAAGAUUUUUAAGUAGGGGUGACAGACCUAUCGAACCUAGAGAUAGCUGGUUAUUUAGGAAAAGGAUUUAAGUCCUACCUUAAAAUUUUU